CGGAAAGAUGCUCGCUUCCAGGGCUCCACCUGCAGAGCAACAUCAGUGCUCUCCAGGAUGAGUGAGUGAGUCACGGCACAUCACACAAAGCCCGACAAUCACGCUGACACGGAGAAGGCAGAGCGCGCCAAAAUAAGAAGAACUGCUGCCUUUAUGAUAGAGCGGCCACGUGGGCGGCGAGAUCUGGGACUUCCAUUUCAGUUCUCUCGCCGUCUCAGAAGCUCCCGCCCACAAACAUUCAUCAAGCGCAGCGAGCCGCGGCUGGAGGGACGAGCGGAGAGAGAAGACUUCCACGCAGGCGUUCCUGGGAGCAGCGACCCCGGCUUUAGUGCUCCGAGGAGGUUUAGGUGCGGGGGAUGAAUCAAAGGCGGAAAGGAUGGAUUGAUAUUCCAGUCAGACCUGAGGGAUGUUGCCGGAGCCUCAUUUCAAACAUUUACGUGAACGGCGCUCUGGAAGUCAGGAUGCAGCUCCCUAUUAGAUGAAAAGCACACCGCCGAGUGGACGGGCGGAUCUGAUGAAGCUCUCGCUGGUUACAGUCUGGAGGAGUUUCAUGUCUUCCAAUAUCUUAUCUUUUGAUUGGAUGCGGGUCACAAAAAAAAAGACAGCAAAUGACACGUUCGUUUUUGAAAAUGUUCUUCAAAUGUAGUUCUGAGGAUUAAACCAAUAAGGGGAUGGCAGUUUUUGGAUGAUGAGAAAUAGCAUGAAAUUGAAUAGUGAUAUGAAAAAGAAACCUGCAGCGAACUAGACAAGUGUCCUGAUGAGAGAGCAGCACCCGACUGCCGCUACCGUGAAAUUAGAAAAAGUUAGCAGCGAGUUAUUGGAAGACAACAAAGACCAGAGGAGCCCGUUGCCCUGAACUUUGAGUUUCCAGCUUCCUUUUUAAUCACCGUAACGAGGGAUCAAAAUGAAUGGGAUUUGGUUACGAGCGCCAACAGGCAGAUCCCCUACCACUAUAUUCUCUACACUACAAUAUUUCAUUAUUAGAAAGUAUCUUUCCGGUAUAGAAUUCUGCCUGAAAUAAGAAUAGUAGUUAUUAAGUUCAUGAGAGCAAUAUACAGACUACUUCUUUAUAUUGUUUAUAAUUUAAAUCGAUUCAAGGUGACGUUUUAUCCAACUAACGGUGCAAAAUCCCAAACUCAAGACAAAAUAUGCAAGUAUGCAUGUUUAAUAAGAUAAGAAAUAGUUUGCUUUGCUACAGAGAGCAGACGGACAGUAAAAUGCAAAACAACGUCCAAUGUGUGCUGUAGGAGAGACUGAGCUCGAGCAGACAGCGAAGAACUUAUUUGACUUAUUUUAUUUUAGGGGACCAAUCAAGAUCAAGUUAUUCAUUGAGAUAAACGGCCAUUGAAUCAGACUGUAUCUUAUCACAACAUUGCUACAUUUCAUUUAUGAAUGAUUGAAUAUUGCUACUUUCUUGCGUUAAUUGGUUGUUUUUCUCCCUUUAAAGCUGCAGCACUAAAAGUAUUUGUGAGAAUAAACUCAAACAUUGGAGAAGUAA